AAUCAUCCCUUCCUUGAUCUGGUUGUGGAAGACAUUUCUCUUCUCGAUCAGAUUUGGCGAAUGAAGUCUUUCCUCAGCACUUCAUUUCUUGAUCCAUUUAUGGAAGACACUUCUCUGCAAGUCCAAAAUUGGCAACUGCCACCAUGAUCAGGGGAGUUUCCUUUUUCCUUCUCCUCCCUUUCCUGCUUUUAUUACACUUGUCCUUGAUCUGUUGAUUGUUCUGAUUUCUGAUCUGAUGAUUGUGACACAUUGAGGACACUGUGUCGUUUAAGUGUGGUCUAUUGGGGGAGACUCUGAUUUUUCUUUCUUAGUUUAUGUUUUCUGUGUUAAAUUUUUUGUUUUCUAGGUACUUUUUGUUUCAUCUUGUAUACUGUUUUGCAUGUUUCUCUUGAUUUCUGGACUUGGUUUAGGUUUUAGACUUCUCUUUCACUUCAGUGAUACUCUGAUUUGUUUGAAAUCCUUGCUUUUCUCUGCUUGGAAUAUGAUUAUGAUGCUUGAGAGAGUUGAUUUGAUUGUGACAGAAAUUACCCUGUGUGAGAUUUGAGCCACUUGAUAUUCUUUCUUGUGUGUGAUAUGUCUCUUGAUUGCUUGCACAUAUGCCUUGGCUUGACUCUUGUUGAUGAUUCUUGAUUGAUAUGCAUGUUUGGAAGUGAUAAAGGCAGUUUUGUUGUUGAGCCUCUCUAGCUAGAUGAGCCUACCUUGUUGUGAUCCUUUGAUAGCCCCUUUGAGCCUUUACUUUCCCCAUUUCUUUGUUUUCAAGCUUAUACACUAGCCCUAAGUGAAAAACCAUGCUUGCCUUAACCUUAGGGAAUUUUGGAGAUUUGGAAUUGUUUUGGGAAUAAGUGUGGUCUCCUGGGAGAUUAUGAUGAAUUGGCUAGUUGGUUGCUCUUCUUGCUUUUGUUUUGUAUGAUGAGUAUCUUGUCUCUUACAAUUGUAUUCUAAACAGAGAGAAAAGAAAAUAGACAAGUUGAAAAAAAAAAAAUACAGAAAAAUGAGAAAAUUUUAAAAAAAAUAAAAUAAAAUUGUGUGAAUAAUGGAGUCAAGAAGAGGAUUGAAUUAGAGGGUUUUGGGUGUGAUUUGACUGUGUUUUCACUUGUUCCCCAUUGCUCCUCUAUUCCUUUUGGUUUGUAGUUUCUCAUCCAUAUUAUAUCCUCCCUUUUCCUUGACCCCAUUGCAUCCAUAAAAGACCUUUUGAUUUGAACAUGCAUAUGUUUUGAGUGUUGAUAUUAGAGACUUGCCAAGUCUGUUUGUGUUUGCUUUCUUGAGUGCAUUGAGUUGACAUUUUUUUUACCUUAGACACUUGAGAGGAACACUGAUAGUGUGCAUCUGUGAGGUUCUGUUGCUUUUGAUUCACCUCUUGAACUGAUUGAUCAUUUUGCCAUGCUUGGAAUUGCUUAGAUGAUUUCUCUGAGUAUCUGCUUUCUCUGAUUCUGUGUUGGAUAUUGUCCACUUCUUUUUCCUUGUCCAGAUUUCUUGAGGAUUGUAAUUCUGUUUGUUUGUUUCCUUGUGAGUCUUUGUUUUCUGUG
rnacentral:lncRNA from 1 species